rnacentral:rRNA from 1 species
AGCGAACGCUGGCGGCAGGCCUAAUACAUGCAAGUCGAACGAACUCUUCGGAGUUAGUGGCGGACGGGUGAGUAACACGUGGGAACGUGCCUUUUGGUUCGGAAUAACUCAGGGAAACUUGUGCUAAUACCGAAUGUGCCCUUCGGGGGAAAGAUUUAUCGCCAUUAGAGCGGCCCGCGUCUGAUUAGCUAGUUGGUGAGGUAACGGCUCACCAAGGCGACGAUCAGUAGCUGGUCUGAGAGGAUGACCAGCCACACUGGGACUGAGACACGGCCCAGACUCCUACGGGAGGCAGCAGUGGGGAAUCUUGCGCAAUGGGCGAAAGCCUGACGCAGCCAUGCCGCGUGAAUGAUGAAGGUCUUAGGAUUGUAAAAUUCUUUCACCGGGGACGAUAAUGACGGUACCCGGAGAAGAAGCCCCGGCUAACUUCGUG